CUAGGGUUUCUCUCAUCUCAUUUGGUCCGCCGCUCAUCCUCUCAUCCUCUGCCCUCUUUCUCUCUCUAUGGCGAUUCCUGGCGACUUCAUCAGGCCUUUCUCUCGGAUCUCGCCAGAUCUCUCACCAGAUCUGUGAGGAUUUCACCAGAUCGAUGAAGUUUUUCAGGUUUGAAUAGAUAGGGUUUUUAUCGAUUGGUAGAUCCUUUGUGAUAAUCUAUUUAACAAGCCCAAUAUUGGUCCGCAAAUUAAUGCAUCAACAGUUGGGAAAGCUCUGGUUGUGGAUAUCUGUUGGAGCACUCCUUGGGUUUUUGAUUAUCUUCAACAUAUUCUUUAUCGUAGCACUAACUUCCCUGAAUCCCCCGGUGUGAUGCUAAACCUGUGAUCAGAGAGGAAAAUGAUAUAAAGAAUUCAAAAAAUAACAGCUUACAGUAGGCUCAGCUGGGAUGGCCAAUCACAUGAGCUUUGGUGGACCUCCCGUGAAAACUGAGACAGCUGAAGAAGCUGAUGAACUUAUGAGAGUAGAUGAAAAGGCAUCUGAAGUUGAGGUAGAAGUUCUUUUAGCCCCUCCAAAGUUAGUUUACAGUAAAUUAAUCUUGCGCUUCACUACAAAGCUAUUGGUGGCUGUAGCAGACAAGUGGGAUAGUCAUGUUCUGGUCAUGGACAAAGUUGCCCCACAAAACUGGAAGAAUGGAGUCAGCUUACAGGACAUGGGUCAGACAGAAGAAAGAAGGGGUUAAAUCUGUUGAUUUGGAUGAACUUUGUAGGGAGCUUCAAACUGCUUUAGGCACAGCAAAGUGGCAGUUGGAUGAGUUUCAAAGUGCCGUUAGACUGAGCUACAAAAACAGCGUCAACGACGUUAGAACAACCCGACACAACAAUUCGUUUCCGCAAUAUCAUCCCAGAUUUCCGCAGUCGAAUUGACGUUAAAGGAAUAUUUUAGUGGGGUUUUGCAACUGAGUAUACGCAGAGAAUAUCUCUCAAGCUGUUGGGCAUUGAGAACAGACGUGCAAAUCCUAUGCCCAAUUCUCUACAGUCCAAUUCGUAGUCCCCGCUCAUCCCCACUUCCCCAUACAUCCUUUCUGGUCAUCUGGCCCCCAGAACGAUCAAUAAAGAAGGCAGCAGCAUCUUUUCUUCCCUUACUUCUGCUGCCGAUUCCGUCUUCUCCAACAUCGUUCGUGCUCCAGAAGAUCCGAUACUCGGGGGUGUUGCGACUGGUGGACUAAAAGAUCGAAGCGCGUUCGCACAUUAGAGUUGGACCGGAUUCGUAAGUCCAAGAGUGUUAUUGUAUGUGAGCCAGACGGGCAUAACCGAUUGCUUGUCAAGAUCUACCACCUGAUAAACAACAACUUGAUUGGAACACAAGAAUGAAAAUUGCUGCCGGUGCGGCAGAAGGCUUGGAAUAUUUGCACAAUAAAGCAAGAGGGUUAACUGAACUGGAGAGUAUCUUGAUCCUCUUUUCAGUACACCAGCAAUUGAACGGUUGUUAAGUGGUCUAUUUCAAGAGGUAAUUAUCACGAAUACCAUUCCGGUGUCUGAAAAGAACUAUUUACCACAACUGACUGUCUUAUUGGUAGCAAACUUACUUGGCGAGAGCAUCUGGCGUGUGCAUGAUGAUUACCCUGUUGAAGCUCCAAAGAAGAAUGUCUAUUUUUCAAAACAAACCGUUAUGACUUGAACCCAUCUUGACCCGGACCCAUUCUAACAAGUUACCUGACCGACCUGCUUGUUUUUCCAGAUGUAAACGGGUCAAACUUAGAUCCAUUUACCUUUGGCUUUACGUUUCUUGGGGAAUUCGGAUGUAGUGGAGUCUUGCAUUAGAUGUACACACACAUCAGCAGUGCCUGUCUCUCAAUAUCAUGGAAGUAAAAUGAUUUUUUUUUUGUUUUUUAAGGUUAUGUAAAAUUUGAGGCUUGUAAGCUGAUUUUUUUUUCUGCAAAUAAGUGGUAGAAUGUUGUGCUUGGAAUCCUAUCUUUA